rnacentral:rRNA from 1 species
AACGAACGCUGGCGGCGCGCCUAAUACAUGCAAGUCGAGCGAGAAGACGUAGCAAUACGUUUGUAAAGCGGCGAACGGGUGAGGAAUACAUGGGUAACCUACCCUCGAGUGGGGAAUAACUAGCCGAAAGGUUAGCUAAUACCGCGUACGCUCCUUGGACUUCGGUUCAGGGAGGAAAGCGAUACCGUGGGUAUCGCGCUCUUGGAUGGGCUCAUGUCCUAUCAGCUUGUUGGUGAGGUAACGGCUCACCAAGGCUUCGACGGGUAGCUGGUCUGAGAGGACGAUCAGCCACACUGGCACUGCGACACGGG